GAUGAACGCUGACAGAAUGCUUAACACAUGCAAGUCGAUUCGAUUUACCUUCGGGUAUUGAGGAUGGCGGACGGGUGAGUAACGCGUAAGGAACUUGCCUCUUGGUCUGGGACAACUGUUGGAAACGACAGCUAAUACCGGAUAUUAUGAGAUUCUCGCAUGGGAAACUUAUGAAAGCUAUAUGCGCCAAGAGAGAGCCUUGCGUUCCAUUAGCUAGUUGGUGGGGUAACGGCCCACCAAGGCGACGAUGGAUAGCCGGCCUGAGAGGGUGAACGGCCACAAGGGGACUGAGACACGGCCCUUACUCCUACGGGAGGCAGCAGUGGGGAAUAUUGGACAAUGGGCCACAAGCCUGAUCCAGCAAUUCUGUGUGCACGAUGAAGGUCUUCGGAUUGUAAAGUGCUUUCAGUUGGGAAGAAGAAAGUGACGGUACCAACAGAAGAAGCGACGGCUAAAUACGUGCCAGCAGCCGCGGUAAUACGUAUGUCGCAAGCGUUAUCCGGAUUUAUUGGGCGUAAAGCGCGUCUAGGCGGAAAAAUAAGUCUGAUGUUAAAAUGCGGGGCUCAACUCCGUAUUGCNUUGGAAACUGUUUUUCCA
rnacentral:rRNA from 1 species